rnacentral:rRNA from 1 species
GUGGGGAAUAUUGGACAAUGGGGGGAACCCUGAUCCAGCGACGCCGCGUGAGUGAAGAAGUAUUUCGGUAUGUAAAGCUCUAUCAGCAGGGAAGAAGAAGACGGUACCUGACUAAGAAGCCCCGGCUAACUACGUGCCAGCAGCCGCGGUAAUACGUAGGGGGCAAGCGUUAUCCGGAUUUACUGGGUGUAAAGGGAGCGUAGACGGCAGCGCAAGUCUGGAGUGAAAUGCCGGGGCCCAACCCCGGAACUGCUUUGGAAACUGUGCAGCUGGAGUGCAGGAGAGGUAAGCGGAAUUCCUAGUGUAGCGGUGAAAUGCGUAGAUAUUAGGAGGAACACCAGUGGCGAAGGCGGCUUACUGGACUGUAACUGACGUUGAGGCUCGAAAGCGUGGGGAGCAAACAGGA